UACGAAGGGGGCGAGCGUUGUUCGGAAUUACUGGGCGUAAAGCGUGCGCAGGCGGUUUGCUAAGACAGGUGUGAAAUCCCCGGGCUUAACCUGGGAACUGCGCUUGUUACUGGCAAGCUGGAGUGUGGCAGAGGGGGGUGGAAUUCCACGUGUAGCAGUGAAAUGCGUAGAGAUGUGGAGGAACACCGAUGGCGAAGGCAGCCCCCCGGGCUAACACUGACGCUCAUGCACGAAAGCGUGGGGAGCAAACAGG
rnacentral:rRNA from 1 species